rnacentral:rRNA from 1 species
CAGGGGAGCAAACGGGAUUAGAUACCCCGGUAGUCCUGGCAGUAAACGGUGCUCAUUAGACGUGGGCGGAUUCGACCCCGCCCGUGUCGAACCUAACGGAUUAAAUGAGCCGCCUGGGAAGUACGGUCGCAAGAUUAAAACUCAAAGAAAUUGACGGGGGCCCGCACAAGCGGUGGAGUAUGUGGCUUAAUUCGAUGCAACGCGAAGAACCUUACCUGGCCUUGACAUGCUGAGUUCAGGCGUGGAAACACGCUGGCCCGCAAGGGCGAUCUGCACAGGUGCUGCAUGGCUGUCGUCAGCUCGUGUCGUGAGAUGUUGGGUUAAGUCCCGCAACGAGCGCAACCCUCGUGACUAGUUAAUCCCGGGCAACCGGAUUCUGGUCAGACUGCCCUGUGAAACGGGGAGGAAGGUGGGGACGACGUCAAGUCCGUAUGGCCCUUACGGCCAGGGCUGCACACGUACUACAAUGCUCACUACAGAGGGACGCAAGACCGCAAGGUGGAGCCAAUCCCUAAAAGGUGAGCCCAGUUCGGAUUGGAGGCUGCAACUCGCCUCCAUGAAGCCGGAAUCGCUAGUAAUGGCGCAUCAGCUACGGCGCCGUGAAUACGUUCCCGGGCCUUGUACACACCGCCCGUCACAUCAUGAAAGCCGGUCUUACCCGAAGUCGUCUUUGACGCCCAAGGUAAGGCUGGUGAUUGGGAUG